ACUGCUAAUAAUAAAUAAGUAAAUAAUAAUACUGCUCAGGGUGUAGUUAUAAACUAUGCUGAGUAGAGGGGCUAUUGGGUAGAAUGUGGCAGAGUACUACAUGAGUACAACUCAAGUACAUUCGGAGCACUGUGAUGUUUAGGGUUUUCAGGGUGUGAGGAGUCACCCCUGAAUCUUCAAUCAACUGCAAAUGCAAGAGGACUGCAUCCUAAUUUCAGCCAUUUGGGUUAAACACAAGCAUGCAGAGAUCUAAGGAACCCAGUAUCUAAAUUUAGAAAAGCCCCUGCAUUCAGUAUUAUAGUGAAGACGAGACUAAACGAUUCAAAUGUUUUGGCAUAUUUGGCAUCAGCGAAAUUCCAUUGUGUACUGAUGGCUCAUAUAUCUGAUAGCAUCGGCACAAGUAUACAAGCUAAAUAGACAGGAAGUGGCUGUCUGAUUUUCACGUCAACUAUUAACUGAAAGUACUUUAGUCAUGGCAGGGAGUUAGAAAUUUAGUCACACCAAACAUGUGCCCUCCCCAUAUUCACCAGUUCUAAAUGAAACAGAACAUUGAAAUAACAUUUUUUGUUUUGUUUUUAUCUCUAUGGCAUUUCUCUUGAUUGUUAUAUGUCAGGGUCAAUGCACUGAAAAAGUUAAUAGUCUCAGCAUAUGUUUCCUUUGGCUACAAGCUCUCUCUAUAACAUUGUUUCAUUUCAUUUAGGUGCCAUGUUGUAUACCAGUAACUGCGAUACACUUAUGUGGAGAAACUGUACUAACAUAGGUCAGCUACUUGUCAGUAUCUAUCUACAGGCCCUGGUAUAUUUUUAGGGAUUUUAAACGCCAACAUCUGUUUUGUACAUGCUAUAUUUUUUUCUGCGUUGGCAUUUGGUUUUCUUUCUGUGUAGACUGACAUCAGGAGCUGUCCUCCUCAGUGCACCAUAUGCUUGACAUUAUAAAUGACCUCAUAACUGAAGUAAAAAAAAAAAAGAAAAAGUAGACCGUGCUUUAGAGUGAGUAGGCGUUCAUCACGAGGUCAUAUUUAUAGACUGUCGUUUAAGAGGGAAAGUACCUUUCUCUCCCUCCCAUGUACUAAUACAAAUAUUGCGCUAAAGGACCAAAAACAUUUGCAUCAAGUCGACCACGGCAUGAUUUUCUUCUCUCUGUUCAUCGUGUGCAUGUGUUUGCUAAUGUAGAUUUGAGUAUAUGUGUGUGUGUGCGUGUGUGUAUGGCGUGUUUGUGUAUGUGUGUGUUUCUCUGUGCUGUUGAACGCAUGGUAAGCAGAUGUGAAACUGCGGUUUAACCGGCUAGUUUGAGUUGUCAUAUCAUUCAAGCGACUCACUUCUACUUCACUUCUGCAAUGUUAUGUUCGCUUUUAUUAAGAGAACAUAAUCUCAGUCUUUAGUGGAAAACACCUACUUUGCCCUUUUGUCAAACAGAGGCACGAAAACAUGAUUUCAGAAAAUGAGACCGGAACAGAGCACACACACCUUUACAUGGAGUGUAUUUGGUUUGAAUCCAACACGGUAUAAGGAAUUUUAUAUUUGUAAUCCAACAAUUCACAUAUGGAAAAAGUGCAGAUUCUUAGCUUUUAUUAGAGGGCAUUUUAAUACAUGUUGGUAUUAGCACAGCACUUACAGAACUUUUUGUACAUAGUGCCCCCCUUUUAUACAUUGGUCAGUCAUCAACUGCAGAGAUCUUCCUUGGCCUACCAGGCCCUUUGCGCUUACUGUUGUUAAUUUUUGUUAAUGAUCCAUAGAGUCGAUUUAGGUAACCCGAAGCCUGAGGCCUGUGACCCAAUGACAUCACCAGACGCUGUGUACCUUCUGCGGAGAUGCUCUGCCAGGCCUGAACUGCAGCCAUCUUCAGCUCCUGGUACGAGUGUGUGUGCCCUGCAAUGGAUCGGCUACCUAUCCAGGGUGAAUUCCUGCCUCUCGCCCACUGAAUGCUGGGCGAGGCGUUUCCUGUGGUCUCCUGCGCGUUUCCUGUUCCUGCUGCCAGGGGUGCUGCCAGGGGCUCAGCUAGCAGGCUGAAAACGCUCCGUGCCACCGACAUAUCGGUCGAGAUGGGAUUGUUUACCCUUCUGGACUGGAAUGGAGAAAAAUAGAACGCAUGGCGGCUCUGUCACCAUAUUUGGUCACAGCCUACGAAACCUGCAAUGUUUGAUUUUGGAGGUAAAUGUACAACCCUGGGCCUGUGUGGCUUUGCACAAAUCCACCUCAGCCGGCUGCCAGUGUGUUAUUCCCGUUUCCUGUUGUCAUCAAUUCUAUUCAAGUCAAUUCAAGCAUUCCUCUUUCUGGCCAAGCCAUAGAUGAAUUUCAGAUAAAGUUCAAUGGAACCAUUUCCUUUGGAUUUCAAAUGAUGUGUUUCAGAUGAGGAAUCAGUAUAAGCUGGAUAUAUACUGAAGCAAUUUCGGUUAAGUACCUUGCUCAAGGGUACAACGGCAGUGUCCUACCCGGGAAUCGAACCUGCGACCUUUCGGUUACAAGCCCAGUUCCUUACCCACUGUGCUACACUUCGUCAGGGUACUGCUCGGCUGGCGGUACACAGGGCGAAGACUGAAUGGAGACCGACUGGCCGUUCACAGCUCUGACGACGCGGGCUGUGCGUCUGCGUCGCCCGAAUCCAUCUCGACGUAAGCCGCGAAACUACCCGCACCGGCGCACAGUCCUUCAGAGGGACCGAACCGAAACCGACAUCAGCCGACGUUCGUCACCGCGGAAGCUGGGAUCGGCGUGCGGCGAGCACAGCGGGACCUGUACGCACGGCGGGCUGCGCCGGUGUAUUAUUGUGAAAGUUUGUAAUGUCUCUGUAUGUGUCCCACUGCAGACACAUCUACAGUGAACUGAUCUUUACUGCCCCCCCUCCCUCUUCAAGCAUAAGAGAUGUUCACACUGUCUCUCUAUGAGUCCCACUGCAGACACAUCCACAGCUACAGUGGCCUGAUCUUUACUGCCCCCCCUCCCCCCUUCAAGCAUAAGAGAUGUUCACACUGUCUCUCUCUAUGAGUCCCACUGCAGACACAUCCACAGCUACAGUGGCCUGAUCUUUACUGCCCCCCCUCCCCCCUUCAAGCAUAAGAAAUGUUCACACUGUCUCUCUCUAUGCAUGAAAAAAAGGUAAUAUUUCAUACUGGAGAUCCCUUUAGAAAUAUAUCUGACUCAGUGGUUGGCCUCAUAGAAAAAUAAAGUAGAUCUGAAAGAGGCUCUGCUUAUCAAAGUAAAUUUAAGCUCUCUAAGAACCUAUUCUUACGCUUCGUACGCAAUAACAUUCAGUCUAUGCUGUGUUGUUCCAACUCAUCCGUGAAUCUUUUGUGCUCAAAUUGUCUGAAUACAGGACUACUCCCAAACACUGACACAAUG